rnacentral:rRNA from 1 species
UUGGAGGGCAAGUCUGGUGCCAGCAGCCGCGGUAAUUCCGGCUCCAAUAGCGUAUAUUAAAGUUGUUGCAGUUAAAAAGCUCGUAGUUGAAUUUCGAGACCGGUUUACUGGUCGUGCUUUUGUACGUACUGGUAUUAUUGGUUUCUCCUUUCUGACGAACUAUAAUGCCAUUAAUUUGGUGUUAUAGGGAAUCAGGACUGUUACUUUGAAAAAAUUAGAGUGUUUAAAGCAGGCUCACGCUUGAAUACAUUAGCAUGGAAUAACGGAAUAGGACGUUUGAUUCUAUUUUGUUGGUUUCUAGGAUCGACGUAAUGAUUAAUAGGGAUAGUUGGGGGCAUUAGUAUUCAAUUGUCAGAGGUGAAAUUCUUGGAUUUAUUGAAGACUAACUACUGCGAAAGCAUUUGCCAAGGAUGUUUUCAUUAAUCAAGAACGAAAGUUAGGGGAUCGAAGACGGUCAGAUACCGUCGUAGUCUUAACCAUAAACUAUGCCGACUAGGGAUCGGAUGAUGUUAAUUUUUUAAUGACUCAUUCGGCGCCUUACGGGAAAC